rnacentral:rRNA from 1 species
GACGAACGCUGGCGGCGUGCUUAACACAUGCAAGUCGAACGGAAAGGCCCUGCUUUUGUGGGGUGCUCGAGUGGCGAACGGGUGAGUAACACGUGAGUAACCUGCCCUUGACUUUGGGAUAACUUCAGGAAACUGGGGCUAAUACCGGAUAGGAGCUCCUGCUGCAUGGUGGGGGUUGGAAAGUUUCGGCGGUUGGGGAUGGACUCGCGGCUUAUCAGCUUGUUGGUGGGGUAGUGGCUUACCAAGGCUUUGACGGGUAGCCGGCCUGAGAGGGUGACCGGCCACAUUGGGACUGAGAUACGGCCCAGACUCCUACAGGAGGCAGCAGUGGGGAAUAUUGCACAAUGGGCGGAAGCCUGAUGCAGCAACGCCGCGUACGGGAUGACGGCCUUCGGGUUGUAUACCGCUUUCGCCUGUGACGAAGCGUGAGUGACGGUAAUGGGUAAAGAAGCACCGGCUGACUACGUG